AUUGAACGCUGGCGGCAUGCCUUACACAUGCAAGUCGAACGGUCUUCGGGACUAGUGGCGGACGGGUGAGUAACGCGUGGGAACGUGCCCCUUGGUACGGAAUAGCCUCGGGAAACUGGGAGUAAUACCGUAUGUGGUCGAGAGACGAAAGAUUUAUCGCCAAAGGAUCGGCCCGCGUUGGAUUAGGUAGUUGGUGGGGUAAUGGCCUACCAAGCCGACGAUCCAUAGCUGGUUUGAGAGGAUGAUCAGCCACACUGGGACUGAGACACGGCCCAGACUCCUACGGGAGGCAGCAGUGGGGAAUCUUAGACAAUGGGGGAAACCCUGAUCUAGCCAUGCCGCGUGAUCGAUGAAGGCCUUAGGGUUGUAAAGAUCUUUCAGUGGGGAAGAUAAUGACUGUACCCACAGAAGAAGCCCCGGCUAACUCCGUG
rnacentral:rRNA from 1 species